rnacentral:lncRNA from 1 species
UAUAUAAAUAUAGAUGACCAUGCAUCAAGCAUGCAUAAUACAGUUUUAUUCGGUAUAUCACCGUGAUAAUACAGAUGCAUGCGCAUAAUAUUCAUAAAUGUCAUUCCAAAGACAUUAUCUCUCGAGCAUACGAGAUGAUUUCUCGUGGUCUUGAUUAAUUAGAAAUUGUCUUUGCAAUCUCUAGAUACGUAUCUCGCCUUUGCAGAAUUUUAUUACAUUUAUUGUCUUAAUAUCUAUGUGACUGUUUCUACCAAAAUUGUUUUUUAAAUAUCCACAGUUAUCCUGAAACAUAUAUUUUUAACAUUAUUCAUUUCCAUUCUACAAAUAUAAAUGUGUUUGUGUGUGUGAUUCAAAAUACGUCAAUCUUGUGCCUAAACAGAUUUAUCGUUUCUCCCAAAUAAACUACAGUGAGAUUUCAGAUUCUUGAAUGAAAUGUUGUCACGUAAAUUACAAUACAGGAAAACGUGAUAAAUUGCAAACAGUGUGAAAACUCAAUUUAAUUCUUUCGAAAUCUAAUAUAACUCACUCCAUAUACAAAUAUAUUAUGAGAAAACCAUACUGUAAAAAGCACAUAUUUUCGCUGGGUCAAAAUUUCGCGAAUUUGACAUUUUGAGAAAGUUUGUGAGGUUUACUAUUCGCGAAAAUGGUAUCCAAUUAUACUGAUGGUGACUACUUACGCGAGGAUUGAUUUUCGCGAUAUGUAUGGCCUCGCGAAUAUAGCGAAAUUUAAACCCUCGCAAAAAUUUCUGCUUUUACAGUAAUUGAAAACUGAAAUUUAUUAGAAGUUGAUGAAUUUUACGGUUAUAAUGAAAACAAAAAACAAUGACAGUCACAUUAUAAACAUAGCCAUUUGGUCAUUUAAUCUGAGUAACACUGUCUAAUUUUGAAUUAUCUGGCACGGUAAAAUUGCUAUUUAUUGACAAUUUUAUACGAAUAAAUAUGUAAGCUUGAACCAUAAUGCAAUAAUAAAAAUGUUGGGUCUGUUCUUUUCUUUCGAAGUCAUAUUAGAAAGAUUUUUUCUCCCUAUAAACUGUGCCAGUUGUGCUGGAGAAAAAAAAGAGGUAACAUCUAUGAUUUAUAAUAACAUAUAUUGAGACUGAAAUUUUGAGAGAAAAAGAAGAAUACUUAGUAAUUAAUUGUCACAUAUUGAUUUAGAUAUGUAGUUUUAUUGGUUAUGCACAUGGACUUAUCAAAGUUUCUAUAUCAAAUGAUUAUAUUUUUUAAUAAAACAACAAUGAAAUAUAAAAAUGUUAAACGAAAGUAUCCUGGCAAUGGUUCAGUUACAUGCAAGUUUUGCGUACCUUCAGAUUCUUUAAGACUUAAAUUCAAUGUCACGGAACCUAAAUCAUAUAAAGAAAGUGGAGUUUUAUUUCAAAAGAGAACAACAAAAACAUAUUUUCCAUAUGCUACUAAAACUUGUUUUUGAUAUAUGCCUUAGAAUACUCCGGGAAGGAGUGGCCCUUCUGGAUAUCCAGAAGUUUUUAAUACGAUACUACAGUUUUAGAACUGGAAAACAUGUUCAUUGUGUCAUGUAUUUGUAACACACUCCGAGCCCUAAAAUUAAUAUGUACGUAAUUUUGUGCUUAUUUGAUUAUUUUUAUCCUACCUUCGUGCGAAAUAAAGGGCAACAGAUAGAGAAAUCAUAAAUGUUGCUUUAUAACGUCUGUGACGAAAUAAAAGUGUGCCGGACUUCUUUUCUUGACAUUUUUUUUUUUCAAAACGGCACCAUCUUGGUGUUAAGAACAAUUAAUUAGGACAUAUUUAUGCAACGAUUUUCAUAAACAAGCUUUAAGUAGGUUCGUGAUAUCUCACGUAAUAUAUCUGCAAUUACCACAAAGAAAUCGCUCAAGGAUAUGGAAUAUGAUUCAGCGAUUAUGCAGGAUUUUGAAUUUCUGCACAUAAGGAUUAUUGAAUCUGGAAAGGAAUGUUAUUGAAUCAGAUCAUGGAGGACACGGUUAUCAUGGUUAUCAUUACCUCGUUACGGCAUGUAUAAAUGUACCCUGCUUGGUGAGAAUGGGUGGCCGACUUGGAAUUGAACUUCGGAUAACACUAGCACUUUACUCGGCAGAAAAUUAAAAUGAAUAAAUCGUGUUCAGCAGCUAAAACAUAAGAAACUGAAAAUUAAUUGCAAAAAGCAAUGAAUUCUGUGAGAUGUGGAAACUAGAAAUAAAUACACUAAUACCUCAGGAACUAUAAAGUUCUAAUUGAUGAUAAACCUCGAACUGAAGUGCAGGCUUUCGUUCCAGAUCAACGCAAAGCCUAGUUAUAUUUCAGGGCAGAGGGCUACUUUACUUUGAAAUGAACAUUCGCUGGCUAAAAACAGUCGAGAUGGUAUCUAUUUUCUGCCAAGAUUUCCAGAAUUGGCUGAACCAGUCAGAGUUGUAUCAUCGCUUUUGGCAAAAUGAUUAAUCAACCAUAUUAAAGGUAUCUGGCAUUUAUCCAGACAAUCGUUCAUGGGCUGCCAAGAAGCAAGAUAUUACCGACUUUACCCUCACAUAACGUCUGCAGUACGCAAAGGUUCGUGGCAAAUAUUACUUAGAUAAUUAAUAACACGUGUUAUUUAUUGUUUUAAUUAAGCAAGUCGGUUAUACUGUUUAAAUUUCACGCAAGGGAAACGACAAUGCAGUGACAUUCAUAAAAGCGCCAGCAACGCAACGGUCUAUUAAUCAGAUGUCUGUCAAAACUGUAUACGCAAAACCUUGCACGCUUUGUAUAUUUUAUUUAAAUGAUUACUAUAGAAACGUUGUUUUUAGGACUUGGUGUAAAUUCAUGACGUCACUGUGCAGUUAGAAUGCGUCGAUAUGGAAUUUCUUUUUUGACGGAUCAUAUUCAACUUCUUGAUAACGUACAUAUCUUCAAAACAAAAUAUGUCUGCAUAUGAAAAAUAAAUGAAAAACUAGCAAUCAAGUUAAGACCAAAACAAAAAACUUUAUGAUUAUGUUUCCAUUCAACCAAGACAUAUGUACAUAAAAUACAAAAGUAACAGUGACAUUAAUUAUAACAAUAUGUGUGGUUAGUAGUUGAUAGGUGCAAUUAGGACAUAUUAACAUUACUUUUAUAUGUUAUGUCAGACCCGAGACACCAGGAAAGUAAUGUAGUAACAGUUAAUCAAUUAAUCAUCUAGUCUUCAAGUUGUAUAUUUUUGUGUCCAGUAUCGCAUCGAAGGAUACACUUUGAUCAUAGAUUAUCUUAUAAGGUGAUAUUCAUGGUAUUAAACUUACCCUCAUUUUAACUUAAAACUUCUAUGUUUCCCGAUAAUCUUUUGCAAUUUCAAUAAACACUUACUUCGACCUUAAGAUAUUUCUGUACAAGAUGUUAGAGCCAGAUCACUUCGGCCUUAGGCUUUAUCGGCCUUAAAUUGGAUACAGUAACAACUGACAAUAUGUAGUCAUUUCGUAUCUUCUGUGAGGUUAUGGCACUUUUGACGACAGUCUUCCUUUCUAUAAGGGGUAUCUGAGAAACUGUCGAACGCUAGUACAUCAGCUACUUCUUUUAUAUGAUAAAAUGAUAUGUCAAUGAUAGCACGCCUAAUUUUGUUCGUUUGAAUUGAAAACAUAUUUGAAAAAAAAAUUAAUAUAACGUCAAUUUUCAUUUAUAAAUUUAAUAUAAUACAAUCAAAUUGCCAGUUGUAGACUGUUUUAUUCCAUAUUGUAUCGAGUAUUAUUUUAUGUUAACUAAUAAAAUACUGUAUUCUGUUAAAUAUUUUUAUAUCUCAUCACUCAUACU